rnacentral:tRNA from 1 species
GCCUGGCUGGCUCAGUCGGGAGAGCGUGCGACUCUUGACCUCAGCGUUGUGGGUUCGAGGCCCAUGUUGGGUG